rnacentral:rRNA from 1 species
GAUGAACGCUGGCGGCGUGCCUAAUACAUGCAAGUCGAGCGAACGGACGAGAAGUUUGCUUCUCUGAUGUUAGCGGCGGACGGGUGAGUAACACGUGGAUAACCUACCUAUAAGACUGGGAUCACUUCGGGAAACCGGAGCUAAUACCGGAUAAUAUUUUGAACCGCAUGGUUCAAAAGUGAAAAACGGUCUUGCUGUAACUUAUAGAUGGAUCCGCGCUGCAUUAGCUAGUUGGUAAGGUAACGGCUUACCAAGGCAACGAUGCAUAGCCGACCUGAGAGGGUGAUCGGCCACACUGGAACUGAGACACGGUCCAGACUCCUACGGGAGGCAGCAGUAGGGAAUCUUCCGCAAUGGGCGAAAGCCUGACGGAGCAACGCCGCGUGAGUGAUGAAGGUCUUCGGAUCGUAAAACUCUGUUAUUAGUUAAGAACAUAUGUGUAAGUAACUGUGCACAUCGUGACGGUACCUAAACAGAAAGCCACGGCUAACUACGUG